rnacentral:rRNA from 1 species
UACAGAGGGAGCAAGCGUUGUUCGGAAUUACUGGGCGUAAAGGGCGCGUAGGCGGUUCGAUAAGUCCCGUGUGAAAUCCCCUCGGCUCAACUGAGGAAUGGCACGGGAAACUGACGGGCUUGAGUUCGGGAGAGGGGAAGCGGAAUUCCGGGUGGUAGCGGUGAAAUGCGCAGAUAUUAGGAGGAACACCGGUGGCGAAGGCGCUGCUCUGGGCCGAAACUGACGCUGAGGGGCGAAAGGCGAUGGGUGAGCAAA